rnacentral:lncRNA from 1 species
CUUCAUUUGACAAAAGCGCAUAUUAAUAUUAUUCCCUGGCCUGAGGGCAGGAGGCUGGACCCUGAGGUCCUGUGGAGUGAGGUCCCAGACCUGUACUUUGGAGCUCUGUCCGUGAGGAAACUUCUCUGGAGCUCUGUGGAGCCAAUCGUCAAGGGCAGGGGGACUAGCAGCCCUUGUUCGGAGCGGGGAGACCAGUUCUGCUCUUGUCUCUGCCCCAGCAGAUCUAUUCUCUAGGCCUUCCUGCUUCUCUCUGUGCCUGGGAAGCUGACCUAAAUGGACCACACCACCUGCCUUCCUUGCCCUCUGGCAAUCGACCAACAGAAGUCACCAGCAGGAGAUGAGAGUGAGAAGACAAGAAGAGAUGCAGAAGCUGUUGUCUUGGCCAGGAGGAGAGACACGUCUGCAGCGACAGACAGAAUCCAGCAUGGCGGUCGCUCAGUGGGUGUUGACGUCCUCGCCGGGUUUACCCGGGACUUCCAGGAGGGAGUCUUUCCUAGAGGCAAAGAGGAGCAGAAGCAAGUUAUGGGAACAAGGCGGCGAGUAGGAGAUAGAGAGAAGAAGUGAAAGAAACUGAAGAUGUCGUCUAAGGAUUUGGAGUGUACGCAGUGAAUCAGUAUUGUCUUCUCAGACUCAGAAGCCCAGGCCAGCUGCAUGGCCAGAUGGCCCACUGGCCCCAGUGGGCCUAUCCUGCUGGUCUGAGAACUACAAGCAAAGCAGAGAGAGAGAGAGAGAAAUUAUAGCCAGUGGCUGCUGCAACUCCAGCUGUUGAUCCAAUUCCAGACAUGAGCACAAUGAUGAUCUGGCUGCCAAAAGAAAAACACAUAUUCCAGCCAGAGAAAGAACUGCCAAGGAUCUGAUGAUUUGCUUCCAUAAAUGUGUUGUCUCAUGCACAUCCAGAAGAAAAGCGGAGCUCAGUUUAAUUCUUUUCUUUGGUAUUAUUUGAACUAUUUUGUGAUUUUGUGAUGACUUUGCUACCCAUAGUAUGUUUCAUGGACCAGCAGCAUCCAUGUCCCUCAGAACAGGUUAGAAAUGUAGAAACUUGGGCCCAGCCCCACACCUAGUAACUCAGACUCUGCAUUUUUAACAAGAGCCCCGGGUGAUUCACGUGCACCUUAGGAUUGAGAAGCAUCUGAAGGCAGACAAAGUCAGGGCAUAGGACCGCGUCCAGAGGAUUGGGUAGUGAACUUGGGGUCGAGAGAAGACCAGACUUGAGAUAUGAGACGUGUUCUAGACCCAGUUCUGCCGCUUACCCUCAGUGUGACCCUGGGGAAAUCACUCCCUCUCUUUAGGCAUUGAUUUCAUUUUCUUUAAAAUGGAGAAGAACGUUUGACUUCUUGACUUCAGGAUGGGGAUGAGGAUCGAAUGAGAUACUGUGUCCGGGAAAGGAUCUGUAAAGAAGAAUGCACUUUCCAAACGCAGGAGGAU